UACGGGGGGGGCAAGCGUUGUUCGGAAUUACUGGGCGUAAAGGGCUCGUAGGUGGCCAACUAAGUCGGACGUGAAAUCCCUCGGCUUAACCGGGGAACUGCGUCCGAUACUGGUUGGCUUGAGUUUGGGAGAGGGAUGCGGAAUUCCAGGUGUAGCGGUGAAAUGCGUAGAUAUCUGGAGGAAUACCGGUGGCGAAGGCGGCAUCCUGGACCGACAUUGACGCUGAACGGCGAAAGCUAGGGGAGCAAACGGG
rnacentral:rRNA from 1 species